CCCUAGCCCUGAUGGGAGCGGCAUCCUUUUGUGGUCCGCGGCGGCGGACAGGAAAAGAUAUAGCAGACAGCAGGAAAUAGC
rnacentral:sRNA from 1 species